AUGCUUCAAAGCUGUGGAUCGGAGGAAGGCGUGGAGGAGACCGGGAAAAAGCCAAAGCAAACAGAGACCUCCCUGAACUUUCGUCAUUUGAAGAUGGGUGGGUCAUCUUCUUUAUUUAUCCCUCAAGAGAAGACAGAACAAACAGAGGAAGCUUAUCCAGAAUGCUAUCUUCCAGCCCUGGCUUGUGGGGGUCCUCCACGGGGUAGGGGCCGAGAGGAUGAAUCAGGACUCAACUGGGGUCACUCCAAAGUCAGAGGUAAUGGUGUUCAUCUAUCAGUCCAGCACUUGGGAGGCUGAGGAGAGAGGAUUGCAAAUUGGAAAACGGUCCCAACUACACAGUGAAUUCCAGUCUAGCCUAGGCUAAAGUGUGAAACCUUCAAACACACUAACAAGGCACCCAAGCCCUGAGAACUAGGAGGCUUGGGUAAUCAUUUCUGUCUCUGGCUGCAAUUGGGGUAGGCUUCUAUAGUCACAUUGCUACCUGGCCUUGCCUAAUUAUUCCCCACCUCCCGAGUACCACUUGGCUUUGGCCUUAACCUUUCUGGUGUUUUCCUAAACUACACAGCAGCACACUACUAACCUCUCCAAUCCAGCUUGGAUGAAACUGAUCUGUGUGGGACACAGAUCAUCAGCAGGCAUUAGUGGCUCUGCAGGUCUAUGACUAAUUGACAAGGAUUUCUGUCCCAGGGCACAGACUAGUGAAGGGCUGAGGUCACAUCUUCCUGGAAUGUCUCUCAUCAUUCAAGAUGGUGUCCUUUAUGAUUUAUUUACUUUAUUUCAGAUGCAUUGGUGCUUUGUCUGCAUGUAUGUCUGUGGGAGGGUGUCAGAUGUUGGACUUACAGACAAUUGUCGGUGUCAGAAAUUGAACCUGGGGUCCUCUGGAAGAGCCGUCAGUGCUCCUAACCCCUGAGCCAUCCCUCCAGCCCCAGUGUUUUCUUUAAAUGUGAAUAAUUUUAAAGCAUCCCUUUAAUAUUUAAAUAAAUGUAAACACAGUGUAGCA
rnacentral:lncRNA from 1 species